CAGUCAAGGAUAAAGCCAAAGUCACGACAGCUGAAGAAAAACUUGACAUGAAAGAAAACAGUUUAGAAGUUGUACCGAAAGAUGCAUCUGGGAAAUCUAAAAUCAACCAUGAGCUUUCUUUAGACAUGGAAAAGAGUCAUGUUUCAACAGUUGAGGAAAGAAAAGAUUUAGAUGAUGGCGAAACAGCAG